rnacentral:rRNA from 1 species
AUGCCACUGUCGGAUAAGAAACUGCGUAGGGCAGACCUACAACUGACAAUUGACCGCCUUGCUGGUAAGUGCUCCGGAUGGAAGAUAGACUUGAUAAAUCUGAUAGGGAGAGUGGUUCUGGCCCGGGUAGUGCUAUCGGCGAUGCCAACCUUUCAGAUGAUUGCAAUACCUCAAGCAAAGUGGCUGGACCAAAAGAUUGACAAGAUCUGUCGGCCUUUCCUUUGGGCUGGCAAAAGCUCUGUCUCAGGCGGCAAAUGCCUUGCAAAUUGGAAAUCCAUUUGCAGACCGACCACAUAUGGAGGGCUGGGUAUCUCAAACCUCGAGUACCAUGGCACAACGCUGCGUAUUCGCUGGCUCUGGCAACAGGCCAAGUUUCCGGACAAGCCAUGGAUGGGACUGCCUUUCCCUUGUGAUAAACUCUCCUACAACAUCUUCAUAGCAAGCAUGGUGAUUAUCAUUGGAUCGGGAGCCACCAUCUCCUUCUGGCACAGUCAUUGGUGGCAGGGUACGCCACUGAGAGACCUCUUUCCACAGCUGUACUUGCAUAGCAGAGGGCACAACCUAUCGCUAAUGAGGGCGCUUGCUGACCGUAAAUGGAUCACAUGCAUCAAGGAUAAUCCGACCGCUCAGGUGCUGGCUGACUAUGUACGCGUCUGGAAUAUUACGACACAAGUAAACCUCUCCCCAACGCAACCUGUUGACAUCCGGUGGAAGUGGACGGCUGAUGGGCAGUACUCGGCCCGGAUGGCCUACCAAAUGCUGUUUCAAGGGAGAAUCAGAACCAACCACAACAUGCUCAUCUGGUCUUCUCGGACGCCUCCCAAGUGCCAAAUGCAUACACGGCUUCCAGUCCAAGGGCGUUGCAAUACAACAGAUCAGCUCGCGAAGAAGAACUGGCCUCACACCCCAAUCUGCACUUUGUGCCAGCAGCAACGGGAGAAUGCCCUACACCUGUUUGCUCAAUGCCAAUGCACCUGCUUACUAUGGCAGAUGAUCUUACAACGGUUUCAUGCCCAAAUCACCCUAACAGGAGCCGACGAGCCCUCGAUCUCCCUUGAAAAUUGGUGGUACAACUCUGUCUGA